rnacentral:rRNA from 1 species
CCUACGGGAGGCAGCAGUGGGGAAUUUUGGACAAUGGGCGCAAGCCUGAUCCAGCAAUGCCGCGUGAGUGAAGAAGGCCUUCGGGUUGUAAAGCUCUUUUGUCAGGGAAGAAACGGCAGUUUCUAAUACAGAUUGCUAAUGACGGUACCUGAAGAAUAAGCACCGGCUAACUACGUGCCAGCAGCCGCGGUAAUACGUAGGGUGCAAGCGUUAAUCGGAAUUACUGGGCGUAAAGCGUGCGCAGGCGGUUUUGUAAGUUUGUCGUGAAAUCCCCGGGCUCAACCUGGGAAUGGCGAUGAAGACUGCAAGGCUAGAAUCUGGCAGAGGGGGGUAGAAUUCCACGUGUAGCAGUGAAAUGCGUAGAGAUGUGGAGGAACACCGAUGGCGAAGGCAGCCCCCUGGGUCAAGAUUGACGCUCAUGCACGAAAGCGUGGGGAGCAAACAGGAUUAGAUACCCUGGUAGUCCACGCCCUAAACGAUGUCUACUAGUUNUCGGGUUUUAAUUAACCUUGGUAACGCAGCUAACGCGUGAAGUAGACCGCCUGGGGAGUCGGUCGCAAGNUUAAACUUNAAAGGAUUGNGNGNGNGNGNGCGAGNGAGAGAGGAGAG